AAUUAAUAAUUAAUUAUAAUUAUUAACCUUGAAAUUUGUUGUCCCUGUGAAUGGGUUUAAGACGCUUCUUUUCACUGAUAAUUUAUUUACCUGAAGAAACUUUUACCUAGCAACCACAAGACAGGCACUAAUUUCAUCAGUGCAGCGUCAUCUGGCAUUCCGUAGAUAACUUGGAAUCUAAAUAUUGCCUCCUGAAGAUCGUAUAUAGAAUUAUCAUUGUAGUUUUUAUACUCUUUUUAUUUCAAUUCAAAGGAACUGGUGAUCACAGAUCUUUUUAAUCAAUUUCAUGCGCGAAGAAAUGCUUCCAAAAAAGUGCUCGUUAUUUUGUUCUGGGACUCCCUGAGUUUACAGAGGUGUUAUGAUCAUGCCCCUGUGCGAUCCAUCCAGAUAAAUUCAUUUAUUAGUAGAUCAAAUAUUCGAGAAUUACAUGAUUUUCAGCCCAGACAGGUUCAGCUAAUAUCAUGAUCUACAUAAAGUAUACACACUUAUUCAAAUUAUCAAGUAAUAAAGAACCUGAAGCUUUAUGGAGCCAGAUUCCAAUUGAAAACUUCUUACUACUAAUCUGUAUUUAUUUAAAUGUAUUUUCGAGAACAAGUUUUAAAAUGAAA